rnacentral:lncRNA from 1 species
CACCAGGUCCAACGAACCAUGCCAAAUCCGGUGGUGGAGAACACGCCACAUAAGUUUUAUAUUUUUUUUUUGAUACAUACGGAUAGUCAUAUUAUUUUGAUAUAAAAAUAAUUUAAAAAAAUUAAAAUAUAAAAAAAUUUAUAAAAUCGAUAAAUAAAUCAUUCGAUUAUCAAAUUUAAUUUUUAAAAUAUUUUAUUAUAUACGAUGCGAUUCAAUCUUUCAUGCUUCUCAAUAGACUGUCACUGUAACCG